GACGAACGCUGGCGGCGUGCCUAAUACAUGCAAGUCGAGCGCAGGAAAUCGACGGAACCCUUCGGGGGGAAGUCGACGGAAUGAGCGGCGGACGGGUGAGUAACACGUAAAGAACCUGCCCUCAGGUCUGGGAUAACCACGAGAAAUCGGGGCUAAUACCGGAUGGGUCAUCGGACCGCAUGGUCCGAGGAUGAAAGGCGCUUCGGCGUCGCCUGGGGAUGGCUUUGCGGUGCAUUAGCCAGUUGGUGGGGUAAUGGCCCACCAAGGCGACGAUGCAUAGCCGACCUGAGAGGGUGAACGGCCACCCUGGGACUGAGACACGGCCCAGACUCCUACGGGAGGCAGCAGUAGGGAAUCUUCCACAAUGGACGAAAGUCUGAUGGAGCAACGCCGCGUGAACGAUGAAGGCCUUCGGGUCGUAAAGUUCUGUUGUAAGGGAAGAACAAGUGCCGCAGGCAAUGGCGGCACCUUGACGGUACCUUGCGAGAAAGCCACGGCUAACUACGUGCCAGCCGCCGCCGUAA
rnacentral:rRNA from 1 species